UAAUCUGGGAGGUUCCCAUUCCCAAGUUUAAAGGAGUAAUCCUGUUUCAUAUAAGAAUACCCAACUCUUCCCAUCGUUAUAGACAUGUAGGUCCUCUCAUGAACAAAUAAAAGGUCAAUUCUCUUCCCUUUGAAUCUAUGCUGACCUUUUCACUUACAUUGAUCAGCAGAAUGUGGCAGAAAUGGCUGUAAAUUCUGGUCUAGUCCUUGAGUCCUAGCAACACCUGUUUUUGCUACUUUGGAAGUCAGCCACUGUUAGAGGGUUCAGACUAUCAUACUGAAGACAGAAGACACUUGGAAAGAGCUCCAGGGAUAUGAGACUAUGAAGGGCCACAGCCAGCCCUCAGCCAUUCCAACUAUCCUCCAAGGCUCCAGGAAUGUGCUGAGGUUUCCAGAUAGUCGUGUGAUGAUGACCAAAUUGGAUGGCGAAUGGGAACUUCUCAACAGCAGGUACUGGCCAGCCAGCAGGACAUGGGCUUGUCCCAUGGCAGCAGAAUGUUGCUCUGUAGGCCAAUAGCAAGGCUGGGAAAUGGCCUGAUCUGAACAGGAGCCAGUGCUGACUGCACCUCGCGCUGCCAUCCCCAGGCAAGCCCUGCCCUCACUGCUGAACUUGCAGAACUGCUCAGACAAAGGCUCCCUGUUGACUCUGGGCAUAGACCUCCCACAACUACAAGAUAAAACAGAGGGAGAUGAACACAUGUUGGAAGCUAAGCAAAUAACUUGGGGGAUAAUACCUUUAAAUGCUUAUAUAUCUAGAUCCUGACCUUUUAAACUUCAAUUUCGAGCCUCCUUGGUGACCUGCGGCAAAUCUGAAGCAAGAAGUUUUGUCAUAACAACAAUCGAAGAGAUACAGUGGGCCUGACACUGUUUUUUAUGAGUUGUCAUCUUUAUACCUUUGAAUUGGAAAUGAAUCUAUAACCUAUUAGGCUAACAGAAAACUGUUGCAGGUUUAUGUUAAGAUAACUAAAAGCAAGCAUUUUGGAGUUAUCAGAUAAGAAGGGCUAAGUAUCUAUAAAAUAUCAUCAAUAUAAUGUUGAAUUACGCAGUAGAUUAUUUUAUUAUCUUUACAAUGACUUUAUAUU